CCUGUCGGGCCCGCACUAGCACACAGGAAAAUGGGCCAUAUUCCUGUGCGUCUGGCGAAAGCUCACAGAAAAAAAAUAUUGCUGUCGGUCCUGGCCCGGCCCACAGGACUAACCAAUUUCCCUGGCGUGCGUAACCCACAGCGAAAAUGAAACCCAUGUUUGGCGCCAUGAAUUCAGCCACGCGCGCCAAAACAAAGCCCGUCCAGCCGCUGAUCGAGCUAAUUUUUGGGCUGCCGCUCACCGGUUGGAAACUUGGAAUAAAAGCCCGAGUGAAAAAAAAUCUCAGUCAUUCCCCACCGAGCCAGCCAGCGGCGCCCCCAAAUCCCAGAUCUGGCAGCCGCCAGCCAGCGGUGUCCCAAAUCCCUCGUCGUUCCUAGGCUGAUGCGCCCCAAAUCCGUCGCCAACCUGCUGCGCCCCAAAUCCUCGUCGCCGGAUGCGCCUCCUCCAACCUCUCGCCCGCCCCAUUCGCUAUGUUCGCUGGGUUGCCGAACAAGGAAUGGUCGCCUUCGGAAUAUCGCCGUCAACUUCGCCUCUACCUCCAGAGGGUCGUCGUCAAAGUACCCGCCGGUGUCGUCAGUCGAUUGCUAUCGCAUCCUUGUUUGAGUGCCACCCCUUUCCAUCCAGAUUCACCAGAAAAUAACGAGAAUUGUCUCCUUCCUCAUUUGCUGGGUACUGAUAGAAGGAAAUGACUUUAUACAGACAUUGGUUUUGAAUAGGCCAAGGUUACAGGACUCCUAAAACAUCACUUCUUCAGAGGAGGGAAACAGAGUUGAACUGUUAAUUGUAAAGGGACAAUUGAUCCAUCGCAUGGAAAGUACAAGGAAGAUGAUCAGCACAACAAGGAAGAUCAAUAAAGGCAAGAAAUUAUAAAUAUUCUUCUGAAUAAAGAGGGUAACCUUGAAGAGAAGGUUGCAACUUAAGCUGUAACAAAACAUUAUGAAAAGAGGUCUCACGCCGUGAAUAUUUAGUUGAUGCACUAGUGUUUUUAGAUGUUGCGCCUCUGUUUUCAUUGUCCUUUGAUUCAUGUAUGCAAGUUCGAUGGAAUUGUAUCCGAAGUAUGUGAAUUGGUAACUCUAUGGUUGAUGGAAGCUAUUGAUAGUGAUGUUUCUCUGUUCUAAACAUUCAGAGUAAUGAAAUGGCUAUGUCUAA